CGGGGUGUGGCUCAGCCCGGUAGAGCGCCUGGUUCGGGACCAGGAGGCCGGAGGUUCGAAUCCUCUCACCCCGA
rnacentral:tRNA from 1 species